rnacentral:lncRNA from 1 species
UCAGUAACUAAGAACUUGGUGCCCUGUGUCUUUUUGUCAGACUUGCCUCUUCCUGCCUACAACUGUUGCCAACUCUGGAACAGCUGAGCUGGAAUAAAGAAAUACCCCAGAGGACYGGAGAGCCCCUGUGGAUAGAUCUAUUCUUCUUUUCAGCCCGCACCUACCUCCCUGCUAGGGAAGAAAAGACCCCCUGCUGCAGAGGAGAGCACCAACGUGGCAGCUUUCACUUCUGUUCCACCAAACACUUCCAAGAGCAGUUUUCUCUCAGAGCUGUUCUCCUGGUAACUUCUACAGAUAAA